ensembl:snoRNA
UUGUAUGUGAAAAUUUCUGUUCCUCCUCAUUCCUGGGAGCAGGAAUGUAUUCAUAAUAUGUUACAUUAAAAAGGGGGGACAGGCAGUGGUACAUACAUUA